GAUGAACGCUGGCGGCGUGCCUAAUACAUUCAAGUCGAGCGAACGGACGAGAAGCUUGCUUCUCUGAUGUUAGCGGCGGGCGGGUGAGUAACACGUGGAUAACCUACCUAUAAGACUGGGAUAACUUCGGGAAACCGUAGCUAAUACCGGAUAAUAUUUUGAACCGCAUGUUUCAAAAGUGAAAGACGGUCUUGCUUUCACUUAUAGAUGGAUCCGCGCUGCAUUAGCUAGUUGGUAAGGUAACGGCUUACCAAGGCAACGAUGCAUAGCCGACCUGAGAGGGUGAUAGGCCACACUGGAACUGAGACACGGUCCAGACUCCUACGGGAGGCAGCAGUAGGGAAUCUUCCGCAAUGGGCGAAAGCCUGACGGAGCAACGCCGCGUGAGUGAUGAAGGUCUUCGGAUCGUAAAACUCUGUUAUUAGGGAAGAACAUAUGUGUAAGUAACUGUGCACAUCUUGACGGUACCUAAUCAGAAAGCCACGGCUAACUACGUG
rnacentral:rRNA from 1 species